ensembl:snRNA RNU11-3P U11 spliceosomal RNA
AAAAAGGGCUUCUGUCGUGACUGACACAGGGGAGGGGAGGGAUCCUUCUCUCCUUUGCGGAAUCGCUAUCAAGAGAUUUCGGAAGCACAAUUUUUGUUACUCGAGGCUGCUAGUGAUCACUAAUCCUGGCGCCUCC